rnacentral:rRNA from 1 species
UGGGGAAUAUUGCACAAUGGGGGAAACCCUGAUGCAGCAACGCCGCGUGCGGGAUGACGGCCUUCGGGUUGUAAACCGCUUUCAGCCAUGACGAAGCUUUUGUGACGGUAGUGGCAGAAGAAGCACCGGCUAACUACGUGCCAGCAGCCGCGGUGAUACGUAGGGUGCGAGCGUUGUCCGGAAUUAUUGGGCGUAAAGAGCCUGUAGGCGGUUUGUCGCGUCGAAAGUGUAAACUCAGUGCUUAACGCUGAGCCUGCUUUCGAUACGGGCUGACUAGAGGAAGGUAGGGGAGAAUGGAAUUCCCGGUGGAGCGGUGGAAUGCGCAGAUAUCGGGAGGAACACCAGUGGCGAAGGCGGUUCUCUGGACCUUUCCUGACGCUGAGAAGCGAAAGCGUGGGUAGCAAACAGG